GAUGACCUACCAGCCUCUGAUUGUCACGAGUGAUGCUUGCUUUGCAAACAAUUCAGUUCCCUCUGCCCUGUGAUGGGGGUGGAUUUCCCCUGGAGAGGCUGGUGGACAAAACAUCAGUUUUGUUUCUGGGCAACAUGAGGAGGAAACUGAUUACACAGUCUCUUUACCUCUCCUUAAAAGGUCUGUUUUCCCCCUAACCCUGGGUAGUUUUGGGUUGCAGAUGAACAUGGAAUUUAGAGACAGCAAAGCAGGAACACAGAGGCCAUUUGUUAUUUCAAGCCACAUUUAUUGGCUCUGCUGUACCCCGCAUAAAUAAUCUCACUCACCUUGUUUUAGCUACAAAGGAAAGGACGGAAGCUGAUUGUUUCUUUCUGCAGCAAAUAUUAACACGUGAAUCCAAAGUGUUCUCUCAGACCGACGGGCUGGGGGCCAACUGGACCCCCCCCCUUCAAAAGUUUUAGUCACUCUACCAGACAGCGCCAUUAUUAGAUGCAGUAAGAAUGUUUCUCUUUGGAAAGGAAUAAUUUUUUAUUUACAAUUUUUCAACAAGAUUUCAGCAGCAUAAUGGGGACCUUGAGCUCCAAGGUUUGGUACAAAAGAGACGCCCGCGUGGUGAUGCUGGGACUGGAUUUUGCGGGCAAAUCCACCAUCUUGUCUAAAUUGAAGAGCAACGAGCUUGUGGAGACUUUCCCGACAGUGGGCUUCAAUGUGGAGUCCCUGAAAACCCCAUGUCAUCUCCCCUUGAUUCUCUGGGAUGUGGGUGGUCAAGACAAGCUCCGCGCUAGCUGGAAGGACUAUCUGGAAGACACGGACGCUCUCAUCUUUGUGCUGGACAGUGCCGACAAAACCCGGCUGCCAGAGGCAAUGGCUGAAUUGGAGAAAGUUCUGAACAAUGUACACAUGACUGGGGUUCCAGUCUUGCUUCUGGCCAACAAGCAGGAGCUGCCAAAUUCCCUUUCUCUCUCAGAGCUGCAGGAGAAGCUGAAUCUGGAAUGGUUCAGUGGCCGAAGCUGGGAGCUGAGAGGGUGCAGUGCUCACACUGGCGAGGGAUUGAGGGAAGCCUUAAUGGUCCUGGCAGGACUUCUUAAGAGCCGGGAUAAGAAUUCCCCUGAAUGUGUCUGUGCGCCACUGCAGUGAUGAGGACAUCUUUAAGCUCGGACGUGACUACAGGGGGCAACUUGAGCAUGAAACUGGAAAAUCAGGUAAAACCUAAAGCUCAUCUGACAUGGAGGGGAAAAAAAGCCUCCUCUCCUCAUUGGAAGCAUAGGGAUUUGGAAAGAAUACUGGUAAGAUGAUGAAGCUGCUUCGGACACAGAGGAUUCCGACUCAGGCCAUGUAGUGGUCAGAAGGAACUGGGGAGGCCGACAGGCCACACCUCACCUUACACCCUGGGUACUCAGCACAAGGAACGCCAGGGAACAGGAGUGGACCAACGGACACUAAUUGCCAAUUCUCCAGUCUCAGGAGCAUGGAGUGCAUGUAUACCCACAUGUGGAAUACACACAGGGACCAGCACUCGAAGAAAAACCACCAGAAGACCCCAACAAGGGAAACUAAGAAAAACAAGACUGCACAUACUCCAAACCAAAGUAUAGUGAAACUAAUAGAGCUAGGUACCCAUGCAGGAGGGGAUAAUAUUUGGAAAGACCAAAGGCCUGGGUUUCCCUUCAAAAAGCAGAUAAUCUCCUCUUAGAACAAGGAUCAUUGCCUUUCAGGCUACUAUUAGUAGAUAGCUCCAAGGAACAGCUAUGAAUGGAGACACGCACUGAUAAUAGCAAGUAAAAACAUAACUACGCAUCCUUCACCUUUGUAGCUUAAGUUUUGAUACCUUCCUCUAGCUGUGUCCACAUGGGACUAAAAGUAAAUGGCUUCUUUUUUAAGACAGAACAUUGUUUAAAUGACACUAUAAUUAGGAUCUCUUUGUUGAUCAGGGAGUUACAAAUUGCUGCCUGCAUGUUCCAAGGAGUGAAAGAUCCUCUGCUCUCAAGGAGGUAUCAGGUGGAGGUAGCUGUCCUGCAAUCAUCUCAAACCAGCAAAAGGGACUCAUCUAGGGGCUGCAGGCUCUAUCCUUGCAGGUGCUACAGCAUUGGAGUGGAGGCUCAGGUUAUAUAAAGUGACCUUAAAAUUAGUAGGACAUGGUUGCCCACUGUUACAAUUGUCCUUGAAAUACUCGCUGGAAACAGAUAAAGCAACUUCUUGCACAGCGCACAAAGCUGUAUAGUCAAAUGUCAUCUCUCAUAAUAUUCUCCUGUGUCUUCUGCAGCUUGAAGGCAGCCCAACAGCCCAAGUGUUACUUCAGAUCAUCGUUUUCUAUAAUACACAAUUUUUCCCACCCAAAAUACUGAUGCAAGAACCUAUUCUAUUCAUGUACUUUGCACCAAGUAAUUGUUGGAUUUCUAACACGACUUACCUGU